AUCAGCAGGGAUAGCUCAUUGAAUGAACCAGUUGCCCAGGGUUGACUGAAGUUAAGCAACGGUGCGCGUGGUUAGUAUUUGGAUGCGUGACCAUGCGUGACCAUCUGGACAAUGCUGCUG
rnacentral:rRNA from 1 species